CAGUCGCCGCGGUAAUACGGAGGGUGCAAGCGUUAAUCGGAAUUACUGGGCGUAAAGCGCACGCAGGCGGUCUGUCAAGUCGGAUGUGAAAUCCCCGGGCUCAACCUGGGAACUGCAUUCGAAACUGGCAGGCUAGAGUCUUGUAGAGGGGGGUAGAAUUCCAGGUGUAGCGGUGAAAUGCGUAGAGAUCUGGAGGAAUACCGGUGGCGAAGGCGGCCCCCUGGACAAAGACUGACGCUCAGGUGCGAAAGCGUGGGGAGCAAACAGGAUUAGAUACCCCCGGUAGUCCCUGUCUCUUAUA
rnacentral:rRNA from 1 species